CACUCUAUAGGGAUUUACUAAAGUUCUCAGACACCCCUCUGAGAAAUGCUCACGAGCAUAGCUGAAGAGCUCACCCCUGAAAUUCUGGGAGGUUCCAAGCAUUCCUGAGGCAGAUGCGGCCUGCUCCUGCUGCCUCAGGCUCGUCCUGCCAUCUUUCCCACCAUGAUGGACGCCUCUGUGGUGGAAAGUCUGCACGGCGUGGGGGUGCACUCAUUUACCCAGUAUGAAGCAAGCAGCACUGUGUACCUGGCAUUGACUGGAGGUUGAGACUGUGUAGCGACAACCCUAGACCUCACUCCUUCAUCAGGAAGAAAGCGUUGAGGACAGCCCCACCCGCAUGCAGGUUCCUGUAUCUGCCAGGAAGCAUCCGAGACAUUUUAAAGGGAGGAAAGGCUUACUUUAGUCACGGUUUCAGAAAUUUCAUCCCUAAGUUGCUUGACCGGUUGCCUCUGUGGUGAGUUCAAAUGCCACGGUGGGAGUAUGUGAUGGAGCAAAGCUGUUCAUGCCACUCACGGAGGCCAGGGGAGAAAAGGCAAGGGGGUGGGAAGUGGGCCCCAAUAUCUGCCUAAAGACCUGUACCCCAUGAUAUAGUUUCUAUUAGUUCCAGAUGCCGGUAUGUUCGACUUCCCCCAUAGGGACACUGUGUAGGUCCCAGGGACUUAAGUCAUCAGGCUUGGGGGUAGGUGCUUUUGCACUCUGAGCACCUCUUGCCAGCAUGAAUAUUAUCUAUUAGGGUAUGAGAAGGAAUCAAAAUAAAUACAUAUGCUAACUGUACCAUCCUACCUAAACCUUUGCUAAAAAUACUAAAUAAUCCACAUUUUAUCCCAACAUAAAAAGAUUACCUUUCUCAUCUAGUACAAUUUUUAUAUUCACUGGGCUGUAGUUUGGAACUCUUUGUCUAGAAGUCUAACUUGUCAAAAUCAUGUUUAUUGUAUUAUAACACCUUUCCC
rnacentral:lncRNA from 1 species